GAUGAACGCUGGCGGCGUGCCUAAUACAUGCAAGUCGAGCGAAAAGACGAGGAGCUUGCUCCUCUGACGUUAGCGGCGGACGGGUGAGUAACACGUGGAUAACCUACCUAUAAGACUGGGAUAACUGCGGGAAAGCGGAGCAAAUACCGGAUAAUAUAUUGAACCGCAUGGUUCAAUAGUGAAAGACGGGUUUGCUGUCACUUAUCGAUGGAUCCGCGCCGCAUUAGCUAGUUGGUAAGGUAACGGCUUACCAAGGCGACGAUGCGUAGCCGACCUGAGAGGGUGGUCGGCCACACUGGAACUGAGACACGGUCCAGACUCCUACGGGAGGCAGCAGUAGGGAAUCUUCCGCAAUGGGCGAAAGCCUGACGGAGCAACGCCGCGUGAGUGAUGAAGGUCUUCGGAUCGUAAAACUCUGUUAUUAGGGAAGAACAAAUGUGUAAGUAACUAUGCACGUCUUGACGGUACCUAAUCAGAAAGCCACGGCUAACUACGUG
rnacentral:rRNA from 1 species